rnacentral:rRNA from 1 species
GGGCCCUCGAAAUCCUGUGGCGAGAGGAUUCAGUCUGGGGCGCAGGUCGUGCAGAUCGGAAAUCAGGUAGGGCUUCCCCGAGCGGGGGCCGUCCGGUCGCACGCAGCGCCUGUGCACCCGACGCAUUUGUCUCUCGUCCGAAGGACGCCGCAGCCGGCUGGGUAGUGCAAGCGCGACGACCUGAGGGGCGGAAGAUGGCAGGUGGCCGCUGGCGUGCCUCGUGCGCGUCGGCGGUUGUUAGCCGUUCCGUCAGUGGUCCGUCACCCGGCCGAGGUGUCGCGAGGCCCUUCGGGGCCUCAUCGCCUCCUCCUCAGAGUCGCGGGUCAGAGCGUCGCAGGUGGAAUCCGUCGUCCCGUUCGCACCCCUCCGGGGUGGUCGGGCGAACGGAGGCCUCCGUUGGUGGCGCCGGACCCGUUGGAGGCUGGAGGCUUGCGGCGAGUAGGUCGGUCACCCACCCGACCCGUCUUGAAANNNNNNNNNNNNNNNNNNNNNNNNNNNNNNNNNNNNNNNNNNNNNNNUUGAUCGAAGGCCGGACGUUCCGGAUGAGAGUGCCCAGUGGGCCACUUUUGGUAAGCAGAACUGGCGCUGUGGGAUGAACCAAACGCCGGGUUACGGCGCCCGAUGCGAGACGCUCAUGAGACCCCAUGAAAGGUGUUGGUUGCUCCAGACAGCAGGACGGUGGUCAUGGAAGUCGAAAUCCGCUAAGGAGUGUGUAACAACUCACCUGCCGAAGCAACUAGCCCUGAAAAUGGAUGGCGCUCCAGCGUCGAGCCCAUACCCGGCCGCCGCGGCAGAGCUCCGUCACGGAGGUUUACGCCGCGGUGAGUAGGAGGGUCGCGGCGGGGAGCGUUGAAGGUGCCGGGCGUGAGCCCGCCUGGAGCCCCCGUCGGUGCAGAUCUUGGUGGUAGUAGCAAAUACUCAGGUGAGAACCUUGAGGACUG